UUGGCUAAGGAUUGUUCCUUCCUACUAAUCGAAAGUUCCCUUUGAUUGUUGAAAGAUUUAUGUAUGCCCCAGCGGGAGAAAACAUUGACCCUGACUGAAGUUUCUAACGUAUAAUAUUUCAGCACCGUCAUGCUAAGCUCGAGCAACGGAAGCGUCUUACUGAGACCCCAGUUAAUCCGACCCCUAAACUUUACUAUUACCCUGUGGCGCUGUCGCGUAAUCUCGUUAUCUAUUUCACCGUUUUAAUACGAGAUAAAUUGGAGAAAACCCCCCGGGAAAAUUGAGCAAGAUCUACUACGGUUAAAUUCUUGACAUGGCUAAGCCUUUGAUGCUAUACCCAGAAAUAGGUUUUUCGUCUUUGGUAACGUCUCUUGGUCUAGAACUGGAUCCGGUGGAGCGAUCUGAUCUCCUUGAGGGUCAAGAUUUAUAUAGAGUUACUCUACAAGAUUGUCGGCAAGCUUAAUCGGAAGACCUUGCUUUAAGUUAGUAUUCCAAAAGCCGGUAUGAAUAUAGUAAGCUCAAGGCACCGACCAAUUGCUGAUGUCCAAAAUUUACGAAAUCAACUCAGCUCAUCUCUUCCGCGUACGAUGAGGAUUCUAAACAGGGGCAGACUUUUUAGUUUCGUCGCGCUUCUUGCUAUAUGGAUAUACCGGCCCAUUUUUGAGGCACCAACCCGGGACCAAACGAUAUAGUCUCAACAAACGUCCGCCUCACAGAGCCUGCUAAGAUCUUUCGAGCUGUUCGUAAUACUUGACCACUAGCAAACGAAAAGCAUUAGAAAGUAAGAGAGCGACAAACAAUACAGAGAUUGCUUAGUUAACUACCUAAUAAAUACG